AGGCGCACGUGGUAAUCUUAAAUGUGAACAUAAAGUUGCGACAGUGUGUAGGUUUGAAAUUAAAUUCCAUAAAUCCAAAUAAGUUAAUAGACUGGCGACCAAGAAUUGAAGACUCUCAAUAAGUUUACAACUUGUGAAAUAGACAAAAACCAAAAAAAUGCUUCGUCAAAUUUGGUAUAAGAAAGAGUCUUUUCUUUGUCAUCAUGAAAAAGUCUACAUCUAUCAAUAUCCUAGAAAAAAAUAAAAUUAUAUUUU
rnacentral:lncRNA from 1 species